rnacentral:tRNA from 1 species
ACUGUUUUGGCAGAGAAUAUGCAUUAAAUUUAGGAUUUAAUUAUAUAGUAUACCUAUAAAUAGUAAAAUAAUUUUUUUAAAAAAGCUAAUUAUUUU